AAUUGUGUUCAUGUCCUAGUGUCUGUGGAAGGUAGAACUUGCAAAUAACUAAACUGGAUAUUUGGCUGAGGAAAUAUCUAAGCACAGUGUUCAAGAAGUGGCCUGGCUCCUCCUGAUUUCUUAUAGUAAAAUGACUCAAAGAUGAGAUUGUUCAUCAACAGGGAGGCAGAACUUAGGGAUUUAGAAAGUUCUCAGCCUAUUCAUAUUGUAAAGAAUGAGAAAACAUGAUCUAGAGAGAAUGCCAAGGGUAUGGUAAAGUGACAAUGUAUAAAGGAGAUUAGUAUGGGUCAGCCUUCUCAACAGAAGCCAGGCGCUAUUCAAGACAAUGGUGAGAUUAGUCAGUGACCUAAACAAAAGCCAAGAACUAUCAUCAAAGACAAGGAAAGAGCAAUUCAGAAAUCAUCAGGGCUGCUCUACCCAUCACAGGCCCAGAGUACAAGAGCCACAGUGAGUACUAUGAGGCCACCACAGAAAGAUCCCAUUAGGGCAACGCCCACCUACUCCAGCAGCUCCAUACCAGCAGAGCUACCAGUGUAUGAUUCCAGCCCAAGGGAGCUAUGGUUGCAAGAACCAGAGACACUGCAGGGGGACAGGGCUGCCUGGAGCCAUUAUGGGCCCAAACCCUGCUAGGCAAAGCCAUGGGGGCAACACAGCCAUCUCAAUGGGUCUAGAAGGUGAGACUCUCACUCCAGUGGGUCUGGUAGGCAGUACCCCUACCCCAGUGGGUCUGGAAGGGAGGAGCUCUACCCAGUGGGCCUGAAGGGCAGAAUAUCAAGUCACAAAAGAUUAUUCUUGAAUGUUAAGGUUUAUUACUAUUUGCCCUUUUGAAGUUUUGACUUACUUGGGGCCUGUUAUCCCUUUCUUCUUUCCUAUUUCUCCCUUUUGGGAUGGGAAUCCUAUACCUACCUAUCCCACAAUUAUAUUUUGGAACCACAUAACAUGUUGGUUUCACAGGUUCACAGCUGGAGAGCAAUUUGCCUCAGGAUGAACAGUAUCUUGAAUCUCAUUCCUAUUGGAUUUAGAUGAUAUUUAGAUGAGAGUUUGGACUUAAGACUUUAAAGCUGAUGUUAGAAUGAAUUAAGACGUUUAUGGCUAAUGAGAUAGAAUGAGUGUAUUUUGCAUAUGAAAAGGACAUGAAUUUAGUGGGGGUCAGAGGAAGAAUGCUAUGGACAAUGUUUGUGUCUCCCCAAAAUUACUAUGUUGAAACCUAACCCCCAAUGUGAGGGUAUUUGGAGGUGAAGCCUUGGGAAAGUAAUUAGGCCAUGAAAGUGGAGCCCUCAUGAAUGGAAUUGGUGACCUCAUAAAAGAGGCCCCAUAGAUAUUCCUGGUUGCUUCUGCCACGUGAAAACACAGCAAAAAGACAGCUGUCUAUGAAACAGGAAGUAGGUCCUCACCAGACACAGAAUCUGCCAGCACCUUGACCUUGGAUUUUCAAGCCUCCAGAACUGUCAAUGUCACCAUUCCGAAGCUGGACUUGCAGUUCACUGGGAAGCAUGACACCACAGUACCUCCAGCUGUGGACGCAUCAUGGACAAGGCAGGCUGAGAGGAGAACUUCUCAUUACUUGCAACAGAGCAACAUUGGGUUCAAUGUAUGCCCAUGAAAAACCUCAUUUAAGAGAGUGCCUUGGAAAGGUGCCAAGGUCCCCAAACUAAUUAACUUUCAUCUCUCCUGUCCCUCUGUGCCCUCUCUCCAUGAGGAACAUUAAAGACAGAACAUCAGCUUGA